rnacentral:rRNA from 1 species
CACGGGUGAGUAACGCGUGGAUAAUCUGCCCUUCAGUUGGGAAUAACUCAUCGAAAGGUGGGCUAAUACCGAAUAACACUGCAAGACCUUGGUCGAGCAGUCAAAGAGAGCCUCUGCUUGCAAGCCCUCGCUGAAGGAUGAGUCCGCGUACCAUUAGCUAGUUGGUAGGGUAAUGGCCUACCAAGGCGACGAUGGUUAGCUGGUCUGAGAGGAUGAUCAGCCACACUGGAACUGAGACACGGUCCAGACUCCUACGGGAGGCAGCAGUGAGGAAUCUUGCGCAAUGGGGGAAACCCUGACGCAGCAACGCCGCGUGAGUGAGGAAGGUCUUCGGAUCGUAAAGCUCUGUCAGAUGGAAAGAACCGCAUAGGGAUAAACAGUCCCUGUGUCUGACGGUACCAUCAGAGGAAGCACCGGCUAACUCCGUGCCAGCAGCCGCGGUAA